GAAUUCUCCCUUGGAUCCAGACUUUGAUCAUGGCUCAGGAUGAACGCUAGCUACAGGCUUAACACAUGCAAGUCGAGGGGAAACGACAUCGAAAGCUUGCUUUUGAUGGGCGUCGACCGGCGCACGGGUGAGUAACGCGUAUCCAACCUGCCCAUCACUUGGGAAUAACCUUGCGAAAGUAAGACUAAUACCCAAUGACAUCCCACGAAGGCAUCCGAAUGGGAUUAAAGAUUUAUCGGUGAUGGAUGGGGAUGCGUCUGAUUAGCUUGUUGGCGGGGUAACGGCCCACCAAGGCAACGAUCAGUAGGGGUUCUGAGAGGAAGGUCCCCCACAUUGGAACUGAGACACGGUCCAAACUCCUACGGGAGGCAGCAGUGAGGAAUAUUGGUCAAUGGGCGAGAGCCUGAACCAGCCAAGUAGCGUGCAGGAUGACGGCCCUAUGGGUUGUAAACUGCUUUUAUAAGGGAAUAAAGUGAGUCUCGUGAGGCUUUUUGCAUGUACCUUAUGAAUAAGGACCGGCUAAUUCCGUGCCAGCAGCCGCGGUAAUACGGAAGGUCCGGGCGUUAUCCGGAUUUAUUGGGUUUAAAGGGAGCGUAGGCCGGAGAUUAAGCGUGUUGUGAAAUGUAGAGGCUCAACCUCUGCACUGCAGCGCGAACUGGUCUUCUUGAGUACGCACAACGUGGGCGGAAUUCGUGGUGUAGCGGUGAAAUGCUUAGAUAUCACGAAGAACUCCGAUUGCGAAGGCAGCUCACGGGAGCGCAACUGACGCUGAAGCUCGAAAGUGCGGGUAUCGAACAGGAUUAGAUACCCUGGUAGUCCGCACGGUAAACGAUGGAUGCCCGCUGUUGGCCUGAAUAGGUCAGCGGCCAAGCGAAAGCAUUAAGCAUCCCACCUGGGGAGUACGCCGGCAACGGUGCAACUCAAAGGAAUUGACGG
rnacentral:rRNA from 1 species